rnacentral:rRNA from 1 species
GAUUGAACGCUGGCGGCAGGCCUAACACAUGCAAGUCGAGCGGAUGAAGGGAGCUUGCUCCUGGAUUCAGCGGCGGACGGGUGAGUAAUGCCUAGGAAUCUGCCUGGUAGUGGGGGAUAACGUCCGGAAACGGGCGCUAAUACCGCAUACGUCCUGAGGGAGAAAGUGGGGGAUCUUCGGACCUCACGCUAUCAGAUGAGCCUAGGUCGGAUUAGCUAGUUGGUGGGGUAAAGGCCUACCAAGGCGACGAUCCGUAACUGGUCUGAGAGGAUGAUCAGUCACACUGGAACUGAGACACGGUCCAGACUCCUACGGGAGGCAGCAGUGGGGAAUAUUGGACAAUGGGCGAAAGCCUGAUCCAGCCAUGCCGCGUGUGUGAAGAAGGUCUUCGGAUUGUAAAGCACUUUAAGUUGGGAGGAAGGGCAGUAAGUUAAUACCUUGCUGUUUUGACGUUACCAACAGAAUAAGCACCGGCUAACUUC